UUAUUAUUAUUAUUAUUAUUAUUGCCAUUUUCAUCAUUAUGGUAUUAUUAUCAUUGUUAUAGUCAAUAUUAGUGACGCUGCGGUUCUCGUUAUUUUCGAUCACACAUUUUUAUUGCAAAAAGAAUAUAAUAAAAAAGAGAAAAGAAGGUAAUGCGUCAACGUACAUAAUGUAUAUGCACACGUAUAUGUAUAUAAGACAGAAGCAUCUUUGUUGUUUAAAGAUUAUCUAAUCAAAAAGUUUUUAAGAGAGGAUCAAAAAAGAGAAAAUAAAUGAAAAAUUGGCUGAGCGAAAUCGCCAAGACGAACUGGAAUUCUUGAUUUCUGAUUGUAAUUUAAAAGAAAAAAUAAGAAAAGUGGAAUGAAGUAAAAAAAGAAAAAAAAAAAUAUAAUGAGUGAACUGAAAAAAGAUUAGAGAAACUCUCGCAUUUCGUUUAUAAUUUUGCAGCUUGUAACUCCGCUUGUAAAUUUUUGACUCUUUGCACUUUAACCCAAAAUUACGGAUUUUAUAUUUAUGUUAUAAAAUAUAUGAGGAAGAACAAAAAACGAAUUAAGGAAGACAAAAAAGAAAAUGAUAGAAGACAUGAAAUAUAUCUAAUUUUGAUUAUCGAUGAUUGAUGAGACUGUGUUAAACAUUCUCUGAAUGUAUUUAAUCACUACAAUCAAACGAAAAGAUUGUGAGAAUAAAAGAAGAUCGUGACGGUGACGAUGAGCUUGAAAGAAAAAGAAAGAAAAAGAAAAGAGGUAUAAGGAGAAAAGAAUUUUUCUCAUCCUAUAUAAAAUAGUUUUGACGAUCGCGUCCAAUGGCAUGAGAAGAUCGAAGCGUCGAUUAUUCUCUUUUUACACCUAUUGGUAAACUCAACAGUUCGAUAUAUUACAUUCGUCAACUUCGAGUUGCAUCGGAGGUACCGAUAUAAUAUAAACUUCCAAGGGCAUCACGAAGACGCACGUUAUAAAAAAACGAUGAUGAGCAAACGAGGAAUAAUAAUUAAGCAAGAAUAAACGGAACGAAGAAAAUAAAAAGUGUACAACAAGAACAAGAACCUCUCUCGUUCCAUUGGUUGAGCAGUGUGACUACCGUGUAGUCAAACAAAAUAUCCACUGCAGAUUGAGAGAAUAAAAUAUAUGUAGCAUACGAAUGCGUGGGUCGUAACGUGAAUGUUUCAAAUGAUAUGCCGCAAGCGAUGUGAUUAUCUUGUCUGUGUGUGUGCGUGUGUGUGUGUAUGCAUGUAUAUAUGUAUGCAUGUAUGUAUGUAUGCAUGUAUAUGUUCUUAUUGCAUGUGUGAUGUAUGAUGGUAUAUGUAAGCUUAUAUGAGAGUAUGUGUUAAAAAAUAGAAAAAAUGCGAAAAAGAGAAGAUGAUCGAUGAACAAGAUAUUAUAAUUUUAGACGCAAAAUUGCGGGGAACAAAAUUCGGAGAAAAAAACUUCACGCCUGCUGUGCGUUUGGCCUGUUGUACUAUUAUCAUUUUCUCCUGCUUUUUGCAUACCCGCUCGCGGAUAAUCGACGAAGAGAGAUGAGGAAGAAUGAACUGACUUCGAUAGUAUACGGCUGGUGAUUAGCGAACGAUUUGUGUACAUAUUAAUGGAAAAAAUGAAAAAAAAUAAACAAAGAAAUAAUGGAAAGAAUAUAUAUACUGUAAAACACACCGCAAUAGAUAUUCGCAGUUAAAACACGCUACGAUAAUUACGCAAUUGUAAACGAUGCAUACUUAUAAAUACUACUUUUUAGAUAACAAAACUCUAAUGCAAAUCAUAUACAUAUAUAAAUAUUAUACGUAUACAUAUAGACAUAUAGAUAUAUAUGUAUAUGUAUAUAUAUAUAUUAUUAUUAUUAUUAUUAUAUUAUUAAUAUUAUUAUUUGGACGCGGUACAACAAGUAGUAUGUGCAUUUUCCAGCACAGAUAGUUGGUAUUUUGUGUACAAAAGUGAAAUUGAAAAUAAUUGUUGAACUCAUGUCGAGAACGCUCGCAUUGAGCCUUCACAGAAAUAUUCGUCUAGGAAAAAUAAUAAAUCGAAAGGAAAGAGAGAAACAGUGACAGAAUUUUUAAGUGAUAAAAAAGAAAAAAAGGAAAGACGAAAGUAAAAGAGAAAAAGAACUAAAUUCUCUCGAUGUUGAUAUGCAACGAUCCAGAAGUUACGAAUUCAUUCGAGCAUACAAUCGACGCAAAACAAAUUAAUAGUGUUUAAUUCGAGAAACAUUAUCGAUAUUAAUUUUAUACGCAAGUAAAUAAGAUGCGUACGUUCAGUUCUGAUAAUCAGCUUUGUCCUUCCUUUUUUUUCAAUUGACGUAAAUGCAUACAUAUGUACUUUGAUAAAAAGCGUUCUCGAGCACUCAUCGCUUCUCUCUUUCUUCAGAUUUCGUAUUAUAGAAAAUGCUGAAAUUGAAAAUUCAUAUUCUUCUGCAAAUUGAUAUUGCAACUCGAUAAAUGCGAUGCUCUUUUAUUUACCAUUUCUGUCAAACUGUUCUCAUAGUAAUUUGAAUUAUUCGUCAAUUUUCAAACCCUUUUUAUUGUAGUUUAGAUGGAUUUAAAUUUCGCAGGCUUUUACACACGAUACCUCAUCGUUUAGUAGUUGCGUUUUCAAAUCGGCCAUGAAUUGCUUGUAAAUAAUGCUAAGAAAAAAGAGAAGAAGACAAAAACAAAGAAAACUGUAAGAAUUUCAGAACGCUAUUUCGUCUAUUAAUAAUUCCGUUAUUGUUUGCAGAACGAAUAAGGUAUGUACUCGUGGUUAUUAAUAAUGAAUUUCGAUUGCGGAUUACAAAAAGAGAUAAAACUCGCCAUCGUCGUCCAUCAUGCGGACGGACGGUCGAUCGUGUUUGUUGUAUUAUAUCUUACUAUUAAUGGUUAAUAUCGAUAACACAAAUAACAAACAAUAAGGAUAAAUAAUAAUUUAAGGUGACGGAAAAAAGGUGUGUGUUAAGAGAUCGACAGCUGCUGACAUUUGGAGUCUGGAUAUUUUCCUAAAUAUGUUUACGGAAGGAAGAGAAGGAGGAGAGCACUCAAGGCAUGUCGAGUUUUUUUUUUGCGAAAUGCAUAGAAACAUAAAAAAAGAAGAAGAAAACAAAUAAACAACCGAAGAAUGUUCGUGCUUGCUGUGCGAUUCGAAGAUACACCCUGAGAUUUUUACCAAAAAAACUCCGCCGUACGUCGCGGAUGUAGGCAAUUUAAACGAACUCUCCGUUUUUUUUAUUAUUAUGUUUUAUUCUUACUUUUAUCUUUUUUACAACCGUAAACUCGCCAUAUUAAAGGGUGAGAGAAUAGUCAGAGGGGAUGCAUCUAUGUGAGGAAACGAUUUUAUAUUGUGAAUAAUUUCUUUGGGUGGAAGAGGAAGAAAAAACAUGAAUUUGCGACAUUCGGGGGAAAAGUGAAAGGGAAGAGAAAUGGCGAUACGGCUACCUCGUUCAACUAAAAGAAGAAAAAAAGAUCGAAAUACACGGGGAACGAUUUACAGUAUAUAAAUAGAACAAAUUUAUGAAACGGUAAACAAACGAACAGCAUUAACAAGAAUUAAUAAAUAUAUCUUGCGUUCUCCUUACAUUGAUUUUGAAAGAAGAAAAUAAAAGGAAAAAGACGCUGAGUUUUUUCAAUUAAAAUUCAGUAUGUUUUUCGUUAUAUAGAUUCCAGUAUGUAUUUCGUACACUACGAUAUAUCACAAUUUAUUGUAUUAUCGGCGAGAUAUUGUAACAAACAAAAAUACUGUUAACUAUUCUUAAAAAAAAUUAAAACUUUUGUAAACUGA